rnacentral:rRNA from 1 species
UACGUAGGGGGCUAGCGUUGUCCGGAUUUAUUGGGCGUAAAGAGCGCGUAGGCGGCCGAGUAAGUCCGACGUGAAAUCUGGAGGCUCAACCUCCAGCGGUCGUUGGAAACUACUCGGCUAGAGUCCGGAAGAGGAGAGUGUAAUUCCUGGUGUAGCGGUGAAAUGCGCAGAUAUCAGGAAGAACACCGAUGGCGAAAGCAGCUCUCUGGGACGGUACUGACGCUGAGGCGCGAAAGCGUGGGGAGCGAACAGG